rnacentral:rRNA from 1 species
AUUGAACGCUGGCGGCAGGCCUAACACAUGCAAGUCGAACGAGGGGCGGACGGGUGAGUAAUGUCUGGGAAACUGCCUGAUGGAGGGGGAUAACUACUGGAAACGGGAGAUAAUACCGCAUACCAUCGGAUGUCCCCAGAUGGGAUUAGCUAGUAGGUGGGGUAAAGGCUCACCUAGGCGACGAGCCCUAGCUGGUCUGAGAGGAUGACCAGCCACACUGGAACGGAGACACGGUCCAGACUCCUACGGGAGGCAGCAGUGGGGAAUAUUGCACAAUGGGCGCAAGCCUGAUGCAGCCAUGCCGCGUGUAUGAAGAAGGCCUUAGGGUUGUAAAGUACUUUCAGCCGGGAGGCGUUACCGGCAGAAGAAGCACCGGCUAACUCCGUGCCAGCAGCCGCGGUAAUAC